AGCKCUCUUCUUUCUUUCGUGUUUAUUAUGUGUGACAUUGAUUCUCCUAGCGACAACACUCCCACUUAUUUCAACUGAAACAGGAGUAAGUCCUGGGAUCAUCUUAAUCCACAAUCAAACUGAAUACAGUAUCACACUGAAAAAAUCAGAGCUGAAUGAGCUGAACCUGAAGACAUGUUAGGCAAGAGAAAAAUGAUUCAUAUGCAGAGACUAGGUGGACGUUGCCUCCUACCGAACUGUUCACCUGCCACGAAGUGACUUCUGCAUUGGUAUGUAACUCCUUUCUUCCUAACAAAGACAACUGAACUUUGCCUGCACGCAAAUCGUGGGAAGAGGAGCAUGGAGCAGUUUUAGCGUGAGAAAAGGAAGAAUAAGCGUAAGAAGGMCUGCUGAGGGGAGUUCUUGGUCCCUGCAACAGCACAGAGCCAUUUCGGAUAAGCAGCGGAUCAGCCAGUGCCAUCCCUGGGACAGGUCUCUCCUGUCCUCUCGGCAGGGGAAGCCAGCAGCUCCAGGCAAGCCCAUGUCCUCCUCCUGACUGCGAGUCCACGCCUCGCAAUCCCAUCCUGAAAACAGUUGCCCAGGGAGCCUUCCCAGGCCUGCCUGUAUCCUGGGAAAGGAGCCUGCUGCGGCCACCUCAAGCUUGAGACGGAGAGAGAGAGCGAGGUAUGAACGUGCGCUGAAGAUGAUUAACUGGUUGUUAUUAAUCGU
rnacentral:lncRNA from 1 species